CUUCCAGUAGCACCUUAGAGACCAACUAAGUUUGUUAUUGGUACAAGCUUUCGUGUGCUCAUACCAAUAACAAUCUUAGUUGGUCGCUAAGGUUCUACUAGAAG